rnacentral:rRNA from 1 species
UACGAAGGGGGCUAGCGUUGUUCGGAAUUACUGGGCGUAAAGGGCGCGUAGGCGGCCUUGUGAGUCGAGUGUGAAAGCCCUGGGCUUAACCCGGGAAGCGCGCUUGAUACUGCAGGGCUUGAGUGUGGGAGAGGAUGAUGGAAUUCCCAGUGUAGAGGUGAAAUUCGUAGAUAUUCGGAAGAACACCAGUGGCGAAGGCGGCUCACUGGACCGGUAUUGACGCUCAGGCACGAAAGCGUGGGGAGCAAACGGG